rnacentral:tRNA from 1 species
GGGAAGCUGGCUCAGUGGUAGAGUGCUUGCCUUGCAUGCAUGAGGCCCUGGGUUUGAUUCCUCAGCAUCACA